rnacentral:rRNA from 1 species
AGGGCAUUUGGUGGAUGCCUUGGCGUUGAGAGGCGAUGAAGGACGUGGCACGCUGCGAUAAGCCGUGGGGAGGGGUGAGCACCCGUUGAUCCGCGGAUUUCCUAAUGGGGAAACCCGGCCCGCAAGGGUCAUCUCGCAAGAGAGGCGAACCCGGAGAACUGAAACAUCUCAGUACCCGGAGGAAAGGACAUCAACAGAGACUCCGUGAGUAGUGGCGAGCGAAAGCGGAUCAGGCCAGUGGCCUUGAGCUAAGAACCGGAACGGCAUGGAAAGGCCGGCCAAAGCGGGUGAUAGCCCCGUACGGGUAGAAAGGCUCGAGGUCCUUGAGUAAGGCGGGACACGUGUAAUCCUGUCUGAACAUGGGGGGACCACCCUCCAAGCCUAAGUACUCCUCAACGACCGAUAGCGAACGAGUACCGUGAGGGAAAGGUGAAAAGCACCCCGACGAGGGGAGUGAAAUAGACCUGAAACCGGAUGCCUACAAACAGAGGGAGCCGCAAGGUGACCUCGUACCUUUUGUAUAAUGGGUCAGCGAGUUCGUUCGUGCAGCAUGCUUAAGCCGUUAGGCGUAGGCGGAGCGAAAGCGAGUCUGAAUAGGGCGCGAAGUUGCACGGAUGAGACCCGAAACCAAGUGAUCUAGCCAUGAGCAGGUUGAAGGUGCGGUAACACGCACUGGAGGACCGAACCCACGCCUGUUGAAAAAGUCGGGGAUGACUUGUGGUUAGGGGUGAAAGGCCAAUCAAACUUGGAGAUAGCUGGUUCUCCGCGAAAGCUAUUGAGGUAGCGCGGCAGACGAAUUCCUUCGGGGGUAGAGCACUGGAUGGGCUAGGGGGUCUCAACCACUUACCAAACCUAACCAAACUCCGAAUACCGAAGAGAACUAUCUGCCAGACAGACGGCGGGUGCUAACGUCCGUCGUCGAGAGGGAAAAAACCCUGAUCGCCGUCUAAGGUCCCCAAGUCAUGGCUAAGUGGGAAAGGAUGUGGAGAUCCCCUGACAACCAGGAUGUUGGCUUAGAAGCAGCCAUCAUUUAAAGAAAGCGUAACAGCUCACUGGUCGAGGGUCUCUGCGCCGAAAAUGUAACGGGGCUCAAGCCAUGCACCGAAGACGCGGGUUCGACAGCAAUGUCGAGCGGUAGCGGAGCGUUCCGUAGGCCUGUGAAGGUGAACCGUGAGGUUUGCUGGAGGUAUCGGAAGUGCGAAUGCUGACAUGAGUAACGACAAAGAGGGUGAAAGACCCUCUCGCCGUAAGCCCAAGGGUUCCUGCGUAAAGUUAAUCUGCGCAGGGUUAGCCGGCCCCUAAGCCGAGGCCGAAAGGCGUAGGCGAUGGGAACCACGUUAAUAAUCGUGGGCCUGGAGAUGAGUGACGGAUCCAAUCUUUUGUUCGCCCUUAUCGGAUUGGGCGGGCGGGGGUGCGGGUUCCAGGAAAUAGCCUCUCCACUAUAGACCGUACCCGAAACCGACACAGGUGGGCUGGUUGAGCAUACUCAGGCGCUUGAGAGAACUGUAUCGAAGGAACUAGGCAAAUUACCCUCGUAACUUCGGGAGAAGAGGGCCCAUUCAGAGCGCAAGCUUUGGGUGGGGGCACAAGCCAGGGGGUGGCGACUGUUUAUUAAAAACACAGGGCUCUGCGAAGCCGCAAGGCGACGUAUAGGGUCUGACGCCUGCCCGGUGCCGGAAGGUUAAGAGGAGAGGUGCAAGCCUUGAAUCGAAGCCCCGGUAAACGGCGGCCGUAACUAUAACGGUCCUAAGGUAGCGAAAUUCCUUGUCGGGUAAGUUCCGACCUGCACGAAUGGCGUAACGACUUCCCCACUGUCUCCAGCAUAGGCUCAGCGAAAUUGAAUUCCCCGUGAAGAUGCGGGGUUCCCGCGGUCAGACGGAAAGACCCCGUGCACCUUUACUGCAGCUUUGCAUUGGCGUUAGAGACGGCAUGUGUAGGAUAGGUGGUAGGCUUUGAAGCAUGGGCGCCAGCUCGUGUGGAGCCACCCUUGAAAUACCACCCUUGCUUUCUUUGACGUCUAACCGAGCCGUAACAACGGCCGGGACCUUGCAUGGCGGGCAGUUUGACUGGGGCGGUCGCCUCCCAAAGAGUAACGGAGGCGCGCGAUGGU